rnacentral:rRNA from 1 species
AACCGGAUUAGAUACCCUGGUAGUCCACGCCCUAAACGAUGUUUACUUGCUGUUGGGGGCAACCUUAGUAGCGAAGCUAACGCGAGAAGUAAACCGCCUGGGGAGUACGGUCGCAAGAUUAAAACUCAAAGGAAUUGACGGGGACCCGCACAAGCGGUGGAUGAUGUGGAUUAAUUCGAUGCAACGCGAAGAACCUCACCUGCUCUUGACAUGUCAGGAAGAUCUAAGAGAUUAGAUUGUGCCUUCGGGAACCUGAACACAGGUGCUGCAUGGCUGUCGUCAGCUCGUGUCGUGAGAUGUUGUCUUAAGUGACGCAACGAGCGCAACCCUUGCUACUAGUUGCCCCAAUUAAGUUUGGCACUCUAGUGGGACUGCCGGUGCUAAGCCGGAGGAAGGUGGGGAUGACGUCAAGUCCUCAUGGCCCUUAUGAGCAGGGCUUCACGCGUCAUACAAUGGUAGGUACAGACGGUCGCGAAACUGUGAAGUGGAGCUAAUCCGAGAAAGCCUAUCGUAGUCCGGAUUGUAGUCUGCAACUCGACUACAUGAAGUCGGAAUCGCUAGUAAUCGCAGAUCAGAAUGCUGCGGUGAAUACGUUCCCGGGUCUUGUACACACCGCCCGUCACACCAUGGGAGUGGAGGAUACCAGAAGUAGUUAGGCUAACCGUAAGGGGGCCGAUUACCACGGUAUGUUUCAUGACUGGGGUGAAGUCGUAACAAGGUAACCGUA